rnacentral:misc_RNA from 1 species
GAAAUGCGAUAAGUAAUGUGAAUUGCAGAAUUCAGUGAAUCAUCGAAUCUUUGAACGCACAUUGCGCCCGCCAGUAUUCUGGCGGGCAUGCCUGUUCGAGCGUCAUUUCCACCAUCAGGCCCCCGGGCCUGUGUUGGGGACCUGCGGCUGCCCGCAGGCCCCGAAAUUCAGUGGCGGUCGCGCCGUAGCAACCGAGCGUAGUAACUAAAACGUCUCGCUCUGGCUCGCUGGGCGCGCUCUGGCCGUAAAACACCCCCCCUUUUCGCAAAGGUUGACCUCGGAUCAGGUAGGAAUACCCGCUGAACUUAAGC